GGGCCUACGGGGAGCAGCAGUGGGGAAUAUUGCACAAUGGGGGAAACCCUGAUGCAGCGACGCCGCGUGAGUGAAGAAGUAUUUCGGUAUGUAAAGCUCUAUCAGCAGGGAAGAAAAAAGACGGUACCUGACUAAGAAGCCCCGGCCAACUACGUGCCAGCAGCCGCGGUAAUACGUAGGGGGCAAGCGUUAUCCGGAUUUACUGGGUGUAAAGGGAGCGUAGACGGCAGCGCAAGUCUGGAGUGAAAUGCCGGGGCUCAACCCCGGAACUGCUUUGGAAACUGUGCAGCUAGAGUGCGGGAGAG
rnacentral:rRNA from 1 species